GGUGGCUCAGUGGUAGAGCACUUGCCUUGCAUGCAUGAGGCCCUGGGUUCUAUUGCUCAGCACCA
rfam:Dipodomys ordii contig_48378, whole genome shotgun sequence.